rnacentral:misc_RNA from 1 species
GAUGAAGAACGGAGCGAAAUGCGAUAAGUAAUGUGAAUUGCAGAAUUCAGUGAAUCAUCGAAUCUUUGAACGCACAUUGCGCCCGCCAGUAUUCUGGCGGGCAUGCCUGUCUGAGCGUCAUUUCAACCCUCAUGCCCCUAGGGCGUGGUGUUGGGGAUCGGCCAAAGCCCGCGAGGGACGGCCGGCCCCUAAAUCUAGUGGCGGACCCGUCGUGGCCUCCUCUGCGAAGUAGUGAUAUUCCGCAUCGGAGAGCGACGAGCCCCUGCCGUUAAACCCCCAACUUUCCAAGGUUGACCUCAGAUCAGGUAGGAAUACCCGCUGAACUUAAGCAUAUCAAUAAGCGGAGGA